UACGUAGGGGGCAAGCGUUGUCCGGAUUCAUUGGGCGUAAAGAGCGUGUAGGCGGCCAGGUAGGUCGGUUGUGAAAACUGGAGGCUCAACCUUCAGACGUCGACCGAAACCAUCUGGCUAGAGUCCGGGAGAGGAGAGUGGAAUUCCUGGUGUAGCGGUGAAAUGCGCAGAUAUCAGGAAGAACACCCGUGGCGAAAGCGGCUCUCUGGAACGGUACUGACGCUGAGGUGCGAAAGCGUGGGGAGCAAACAGG
rnacentral:rRNA from 1 species